AUCAAUAAUCCACCACUUACCUAAUGGUUGAAGUGGGGGCUUGAAAAGCCCUUAUUGACUACCCUAAGUCUUUCGCAGACUACGUUGGAUUGGUCAUGACACCUUCGAAUGCUCUUCAAGUUCGCUGCUCUGUCGUCUAUGGUUAAAUGUUCUGAUGGGUAGGAACUGUGCUGUAGACCUAACAAGCCUUUCCAACAUUGGGUAUGAGGCAUAAUAC
rfam:Paenibacillus sp. HGF7 contig00019, whole genome shotgun sequence.